CGCAUCUGUGCAUGCAGCAUAUCAAUAAGCGGAGGAAAAGAAACUAACAAGAAUUCCCCCAGUAACGGCGAGUGAAGCGGGAAGAGCUCAAAUUUGAAAUCUUAAAGGGUUUCCCUUUACGAAUUGUAGUUUAAAGAAGUGUUUUCUGUUGAGGUUUUGGUAAAAGUUCUUUGGAAUAGGACAUCAUAGAGGGUGAGAAUCCCGUAUUUGACCUUUACUUUCAACUUUGUGAUACACUUUCAAAGAGUCGGAUUGUUUGGGAAUGCAGUCCAAAAUGGGUGGUAAAUUUCAUCUAAAGCUAAAUAUUGGCGAGAGACCGAUAGCGAACAAGUACCGUGAGGGAAAGAUGAAAAGAACUUUGAAAAGAGAGUUAAACAGUACGUGAAAUUGUCAAAAGGGAAGCGUUUGACACCAGUGUUGUUUUUCUGAAAAUCAAUUAAAGAACUGUUUAUGCUAAGUUGUUUAGACUUUAUCAGCUAUCUGUUUAGUUUUGAGCUUUUCUUUAAUGCACUUUUCAGUUAACAAGUCAACAUCAAUUUCUUUUGCUGUAAAAAAGCUUGAGGAAGGUGGCUUGAGAUUCGUCUUAAGUGUUUAUAGCCUCUUGCCUAUGCAGUCGGAGAGAUUGAGGGUCUGCAGCGUAGAUCCUUCGGGGCUAAAUGCAUUUGUGCUAAGUUAUAGCAUUUUAUAGACAACUUGUUGACUAUGAUUUGUCUUGUAGCUUACUCGCUUAUGUUAUUUUACCUACGCUUAGGAUGUUGAAUCUGUGCGAGACUAC
rnacentral:rRNA from 1 species